UUAAACAUGAGAGUUUGAUCCUGGCUCAGGAUGAACGCUGGCGGCGUGCUUAACACAUGCAAGUCGAACGAAGCACUUAAAUUUGAUUCUUCGGAAGAAGAUUUUUGUGACUGAGUGGCGGACGGGUGAGUAACGCGUGGGUAACCUGCCUCAUACAGGGGGAUAACAGUUAGAAAUGACUGCUAAUACCGCAUAAGCGCACAGGACCGCAUGGUCUGGUGUGAAAAACUCCGGUGGUAUGAGAUGGACCCGCGUCUGAUUAGCUAGUUGGUGAGGUAACGGCCCACCAAGGCGACGAUCAGUAGCCGACCUGAGAGGGUGACCGGCCACAUUGGGA
rnacentral:rRNA from 1 species